rnacentral:rRNA from 1 species
AUGCAGCUCCCGCCGGCGACGGCCGCGUCAGCCGCGGAUCCCGUCGCCACCGGCCGUGAAGCUGCAGAUUCCGUCGCAGCCGGCCCUGUAGAUGCUGCUCCUCUCGUUGCCGGCGCAUCAGCUUCUGCUCCUCCCGUCGCCGGCCCUGCGGAUCCCGCUGCCACCGCCGCUGCACCGGCUGCUGGACUUCGAGCUCCAGCCGGUGGACCUCCAUCCAGCGCCCCUAAAGCUGCAGGUCGUCGAGCUCCAGUUAUCUCCCUUAUAGGCACUGGACCUCCAGCUCCAGGCGCCUCCCUCACUUCCGGUGAGGAUGUGGCUUCUUCGACAUCUCCACAAUCCCCACCACGAAUUCCUGCAAUAAGGAUGGACCAGGCAUCAACAUGUGUGCUAGAAGUUAGGAUAUGUAGCAGUCAUCGUAACUUCAGCGGAGGUUUUUCCUUCAGUUGGAGCAUUGAUUUGCAUGUUAUCACUACUAUGAAGGGGUUUGUAGAUGCUAUUUCUGCACAAUGUGGGUACAAUUGA